rnacentral:rRNA from 1 species
UACAGAGGUCUCACGCGUUGUUCGGCUUCAUUGGGCGUAAAGGGCUCGUAGGUGGCGCCGUAAGUCGGGUGUGAAAUCUCGGAGCUUAACUCCGAAACUGCAUUCGAUACUGCGGUGCUUGAGGACUGGAGAGGAGACUGGAAUUCAUGGUGUAGCAGUGAAAUGCGUAGAGAUCAUGAGGAAGACCAGUGGCGAAGGCGGGGCUCUGGACAGUUCCUGACACUGAGGCACGAAGGCCAGGGGAGCAAACGGG